rnacentral:tRNA from 48 species
GCCUAUAGCUCAGCUGGUUAGAGCGCACGCCUGAUAAGCGUGAGGUCGAUGGUUCGAGUCCAUUUAGGCCC